UCCCUUUCUCUCUCCCACCCUACCCGAUCCAUACUUUCCUUUCUCCCUCUCUCUCUCUCUCUCUCUCUCUCUCUCUCUCGUAUGCUCUCUGCUAUUCCCGAACGGCUGCCCUUCGAUGGUCGCCGUCAUGCAGACAUCAGAUCAGGAGUACCAGACACCGUCGAAACUCCAGCCUCGCGAGCCCUUCGUUGCCGUUCUCCGCCGCGAGCAGAAGCCUCCAGGCUCGUACGUCGCUGUCGUGGCUUCAAGGCUAGUUUCUGGCCUCCUCCGACAUCGUCUAAGGCGAAAGGUAGCAUGGGUGAACUCAGGGUAUCAAGACGAACAAAGCCCAGUCAAGGAUCGAGCUUUUAAGUGACCGGAGGAUCGGGCUAAAAUAUUGAUAAGGUUGUUCGUGAGCAUAACCCGAAAGGUAGAGAUGUUGAACUAUUUCGCUGGCAUCUAUAUGGUGAUGGUAAAUUGGUGAUAUUGCUCACUUUUUAUAUGAGUCAGUUACCUGGCUACCACCUGAAUCAUAUUAUAAUGUGCUUAUUUUUAAUCAGAUCUGUGAAUGUUAAUGCUCUGCUCUUAUACUAUCCAAUUUGUCAUCAUAGCCAACUAUUACCUCAUGCUGCAUCAAUUGUACGCCUCAUCUGAGUCUACUUUACGAAGUGUGCAUUUCCAUAAUUGAGGACAAAGAUAUAUUCAAUUAGGAAGAUAUUGUUGCUAUCCAUGGGUGUUGGUAUGCAGUAGUUUCUUCAUAUAUUUUCUGUCUAGUUUUAUUCUUAAUUUUUGUCAAGUUCUAGUGUUCAACUAUCAGACAAUGUUAUAAUUUGAUACUCAUUAAAUCUCUUAAUUAUGUCAAA